AGUGAACGCUGGCGGUAGGCCUAACACAUGCAAGUCGAACGGCAGCACAGGAGAGCUUGCUCUCUGGGUGGCGAGUGGCGGACGGGUGAGGAAUACAUCGGAAUCUACUCUGUCGUGGGGGAUAACGUAGGGAAACUUACGCUAAUACCGCAUACGACCUACGGGUGAAAGCAGGGGACCUUCGGGCCUUGCGCGAUUGAAUGAGCCGAUGUCGUAUUAGCUAGUUGGCGGGGUAAAGGCCAACCAAGGCGACGAUCCGUAGCUGGUCUGAGAGGAUGAUCAGCCACACUGGAACUGAGACACGGUCCAGACUCCUACGGGAGGCAGCAGUGGGGAAUAUUGGACAAUGGGCGCAAGCCUGAUCCAGCCAUACCGCGUGGGUGAAGAAGGCCUUCGGGUUGUAAAGCCCUUUUGUUGGGAAAGAAAUCCAGCUGGCUAAUACCCGGUUGGGAUGACGGUACCCAAAGAAUAAGCACCGGCUAACUUCGUGCCAGCCGCCGCGGUAA
rnacentral:rRNA from 1 species